rnacentral:lncRNA from 1 species
UGUUCUUUUCUGAGGAGCCCAACAUCAUAAACCGGAGAGAAAUCUGACCGGAACAGCCCCCAGUUCCUCUCUGCAGUUGGACCGGGCUUGCCUUCUUCGUUAAACAAACCGAAAAUGUAAGUCUCGAACCGUUUGUUAGGCAUGAGAGGUGUUCCUUGGCCUUGUGCACGUUUAAUGAUAUUGAGGUUGAACCAAGCCGCGUUUUCAAGAGAGCACCACGGUGCAUCGCAGGCAGAAGGCCAGCCCGUCUCACCAACGACGAUGUCAACAUCACCGUAGCCAAGAGCUUUCAUGGCUGAGUAAGUCGAGUCCAUGAGAGUAUCGUACAUGUUUGUGUACACUUUGCCGGUUAACGGGUCACGGACCGCCUUGUACGGUGAGCGGAAAAUGGCAAAGUUGACGUUUUUGGGGUCGAAACCGAAAUAAGGGUAAGGGUUAACCAUGAACGGAGACUUGGUCUGACGAUGAUAAGCUAGGAUUGGAGCCAAUACGCCUUUAUCCCAGCCAGGCCUGAAUCGACCGCUGCUUGGUGCACCGUUCAGUUCAUAGGCUAUGAUGUUAAGUGAGUGUGCGGUUGUAACCUGAAACCAAAUUGUAACAAAGUAUUUAUCAAAAUCAAGUAUUAUCUAACAAGUUACAAAUGUUAAUCAUGUUGGUCUGAUAUAUUAUCCAAUUUUACUCAGAGCAUACAUGUAUUUGUGAUAUAACAAAAGGACAAUUUAUUACUUAGUUACAAAUGUAAUCAUGUAUUUGUCACCAGUUUAAAGCUCAUAAGAAAGUGUCGGAAUGUAAAGACAAGCAGGACGUUGACAGCACGUGGGAUAGUCUAUAUGGUCGGAGUCGUCGGACCUAUAAAUGAUUAUCAUUCACUAGCUUUCUUGAAAUUUUAUUUGCGAUAUUUUUCUUUUUAGAAAAGUAAAUGGAAGCAAAAAUAAAGAAAUACGUUGGAGUACAUUAGGCCAGUUGCAUAAGGAUUUGGACGGAUAUAACCUUAGAAUGUUCCAACUUUAUAUGCGCAAUCAACGCAUUGGUUCAGUUUUUUUAAACGUUUUUUUUAUACAAAUUGCAUUAUCACGCCAAUCAUCAACUAAUAAUGACGCAUUAAUGACCUCGAAAUAUAUUACUAAAUUAUUUAAUCACCAAAACAGAAAAAAUCUGGAGAUUAGGAAAUGAAGAGAUAAACUGACCUUAACAUCUUUGACACCAGCACGGACCAAAGCAGCGUUAAGAUUCUUCAUCGCCGGUAAAAGAUUCUUGAUCAUGUUAUCAUCCCCGGAGAGCAGAAUCUCAUUUCCGACGGAGAUAUACUUGAUCUUUGUCUGCGGAUGAAACGGCAAAAUAUUAGCAGAAACCCACCGACGAGCUUGUACUCCGUUAGCUAACGCCGGAAUAUCACCGUUAGGGACGGUGACGACGACGGAGAUUCCGGUACCGGCGAAGGCACGGAUGAUAUCAGGGUUUACGUUGAAGAUCUUGACGCUAUCUAUCGAAGUCUGAGUCUUGAGGAAGUUCGCCACCUGAGUCGGUGGUGGGAGGUUUCCGAGAGUGCCGUAGUUGACGCCGAUGGAGGAGAUAGCGGCGGGGAGGGUGAGGAAUACGGCGGCGGAGAGAAGGAGGAGGAGAGAGAUUAACGGUGGCGCUUUCGCCAUGUUUUGGUAGUUUUGGAGUAAAUGGAAGAAAAUAAAACGAUUCAAGUGAAACCCGUGAAUUGUUUGGGGUGUUUAUUUAUGGGGGAGAGAGAGAGAACGUUUUAAUGUUUUAUGAGAAACAUUUGUUAUUUAAAAAAAAGGCUCAAUUAGGUGAAUAUACAAAUUAUAGGAGAAAUUUGCGGAAGUGUGCAUUUUUUUUAAUUAAUUUGCGAACAUGGAGAUUAAAGAUAGCACAUUGACAUUUAUGUCCUCGACAGCAAUCAGAUAGACCCACUAGCUCGACUUGGAACCGGCAAAUUAUCAGGUUAUGAAGUGUCUUAUUGUUUGAUUGAUGAAAAGUUGAAAAGGACGUGAACAUAUUGAAAAAGAAAAUAACUUAAGUAUAUAUGUGUUCUCUACUCCUCCACAUAUGAAACCGGUUAGCUAAAUAAUAAUUUAAAAAGGAAUUGAUCGACGAAACCAAGCCACCUCCUUCUCUUCCAUGUCCUUGUUCACCAAUUCCGUCGCCGGUUUCUUCUUCCGCCAUCAACUGAAACCAGAGCCACCAUGGCCGUCGUCUCACGACAGGACCACUUCCGCGAACCACCACAAACUUCGUCUUGUUCUUGACUCUGUGCCGGCGGCUUCUCCGCCACGACAUGACUACUUCCGCAUUCCUCUGUGACGUCUCUGUCUUCCUCGUCGUGUUCAUCAAAAUCAAAUAGAAUUGUGAUUUAAAUUUGUUUAUUUCUCUCUCAUGUGUAAGGCUCGUGCUCGCUAACAACAAGAUAAUGGUAGAGAAAGCCAUGACUGGUGAGAACCCUUCCGUCACGUUGAUCGGUAUCUGGGUGGGGAAGGUCACCACGAACACUGGCUAGACACCGGACAGUCGCAGUUUCCUCCACCCUCGGUGACUAGACAUCCUCUGGUGCUAGAAAUGGAUCAGAGUAUGGAUUUCUUAAAUCGGAGAGAUCUUUUUUUCUUCAUCAUCAUCGUUGAACAUUCUCAGGAUCUCCAAACUUCAAACUCGUCCAUUAAUGGAGAAAAAAUAGAGAUUUAUGUGAAGAUGAGAUAUAUUCUUUCAAUAAUAAAAAAAAAUUAGAAGAGCAGAAAUGAAGAAACAGAGAAAAUAUAGAAUUGUGAUAGGUAAAGCUGGGGUACCGGUUUGGUCAGUACAACACCUAAGUCUAAAUAUAGGGGCAUACUCGUAUUAAUCAAAAAUGUACAGUCUUCAUGUCCGUUUACCUAAAUAACAUUUGUUUUGUGUUAUCUAGUGCAAAAACCCAAAAAAAAAAACUGUUUGUAUAACCUAUACGUGUGGUAAGUGUAUAUGUACAUUUUUAGUGACGAACAGCUGGACUUUUUAAAAAAGGAAGUACAAUUAUUCUUCUCUUUUCGGUGUGCGUCGGUUAAAUUUAGGCAAACUUGUAAAUAAUUGAAAACUAGAUUUUGACCCGUGCAACCGCACGGGUGUUUGUUUUCACUUUUCUAUACAUAAAUUAUUGUUUUAGAACAUAAGUGGUAUAUAUUUUUAAUGUUAAUCAUAUACUUAAAUAUUUAUAUAACUAUUUCAAAUACAAUAAUUUUAUAAUUUACAUGUUAUAAUUAAUUAAUUAUUUAAACCUUAUGUAUUUGCCACUUCUUAUUAUAUAUUUAUUUUAUUGUAUUUGCAUUUAGUUAUUAAGCAAAUUAAUAUAUUCAUAAGAAAAUAUAUUUAAAAAAUAUUUUGUAUUUAAUUUAUGCUAAAUUCUGACCCGUAUUUCAAAUCUGAAUUUCUUCUUACCAAUAUUUUUAUGCUUACUCAUUUUAGAUAAUUUAUUAUUGUAUAUAUAAAAGUGUAAGAUAUGUUAAUUUUUAUACAUGUAUUAUAUAGUUUGUUAAUUUUAAGCCGUUCUAUCAUCAUAUUAUAUUUUAAAUAAAUAGUUUAUAUUUAUGAAAAUAAAAUUUAUAAAUUUAUCAAUUGAAUAUAAUUUUAUCAUAUCUAUUUUAAUAUAAUAAUUAUAUUUUAACAUGAUCAUGAAUAUAAAAGUAGACAAAAUAUGAUAUAAUUUAUUUAUUUUCAUUUAUAAACGAUAACUUAAAAUACAUUAAGUUAUUGUUUAAAUAUUACACAGAUUUAUUAGAAUUUUUAAAAUAUAAUAUAUAAAUAUAUAUUAUAUUUAAAAUGAAAAUAUAUUAUGAUUAAAGUAGUUACAAAGAUUUUAUAUUAUUAACUUUAAAGAAAUACAUGUUAAUUUUUAUACAUGUAUUAUAUAGUUUGAUAAUGUUAACCCAUCUUACCAACAUAUUAGAUUUUAUUUUUGAACAUAAAUAUUUUAUAAUUACGAAAAUAAAAUAUAUAAAUAUAUAAAUUUAAUACAAUUUUAUUAUAUUUAGCUCAAUAUAAUAAUUUUAAUUUAAUAUGAUUGAUUAUGAUUAUAUAAUAACUAAAAUAUUAUAGAUUUUUUUUAUUUUUCAUUUUAUAUAACUGAAUAUAUUAAUGUAUAAUAAUAUUUUAAACUAAUUUCGAAAUUAGUGAAAAUAUUUAAAUAUAAUUUCGAAAAUGAAGAUCUUGUAAAAAUCUUUUUAACAGAUUUGUUAGAAUUUUAAAGUAAAUAUAUUUAUAUUUAAAAUGAAAAGAUAUCAAAAGAUACUAUGAUUAAAAUAUUUUAAAAAUUAUAUUUAUUAUUAAUCUGAAUUAAAAUAUAGUAUGAAUUUCUAUGAAUAGGUCCAUUAGGUCCAUUUUUAAAAAAAUCACACAUGAAUCAAGGUUGUGACUUCUGUUUUAAUAUAUAAGAUGUGGAUUUGAUUAUGACCAUGAAAAUGUUAAGAUUUGUUUCAAUAUAAGUUGUUUUUAAGAUUUUUGCACAUGGGUUAAGAAAAUACAAUUUUCUAUACAAUUUAUUUUGGCUACAUAAAUUUUUUAUUAAAUAAAACUAAUUGAACCAAUAAAAGAACACAGUAUUUUAUAAUUAGUCAUAAAUUUAAAAUGAAAUUAAAUUCUAUCUAGAAUAUAAAUAGAAUAUUAAAUUUUAAGAAAUUAAAACAAAACAGUUUAAUUUUCUCAAUUAUAUUUAACAGUUUAAUUUUUUAAUUACAUUUAAUUAUAAGUAUGACGAUCCAAGAACAGGAAGAAUUUUGUGCAAUGUCUUUGAUUUCUAUAAUCAUUCUAAGAAUAGGAAGGAUCUCGUAGAUAUUGCCUUUUAGGUAGGUGUCGAUAGUAUGUGGCUAGUUAUCCAAAAUAAGUGUCACGAUUUAUAUAUUUAUAGUCGUGACCAGUUAAAUAUUGUUCUUGAAUGAGAUCAAAACUCAUUAAUGUAAAUAUUGCUUCUAGAUUUGACCAACAAAAUGUUAAUAAUUCUGGUGGAAAUUAUAUGUUUACUAUUUUUAUGGUAUCAUUUUUCAUUUUUACCACUAUUAAUGAAACAUUUUCAAAAAUACAUUCUUCAUUAAGUGGCAAAAGACUCUUAUACCCUUGUUAUUUAUAUAUAUAAUAAAUUAUUAUUUAAAUAAAAAAAAUAAUAAAAAAUAAAAAAAAAUAAAAAAAUAAUUUUUUUUUAUGUUUUCGAAUUAUACCUUUUUAUAAUUUUUUUUUGAAAUUAUUUUUUCGAAUUUUUUUUUAUUUUCUUUUUCAAAUUUCUUUUUGAAAAACGAAAAUUAUGUUUGAAACUAUUUUUAAUAUUUUUUAAGUAUUUAUUUAUAUAUUUAUUAGAAUCCUAAAUUUCACAUUCCAAAAGCCCUACCCCACCCCCUCAACUCUAAACCCUAAGUCUAGAUUAGUUAACCCUAAUGGUAUAAUUGUCUUUUACCCUUCAUUAAAAACAUAAAAUUGAGGGUAAAAAUGGAUAGUGUAAACAUGAAAAGUGGUACUAUGAAUGUGCUAUUUGUGGCAAUUUCCCAUGAUUCUGAGAUUGACUGUUUGUAGAUUUUAGAUUGGUUUUUGGUUUUUGUUUCUCCAAAAUCUAUUUUUCAUCCAAUCAAAAUUUUCAAAGAAUCUAUACUAUUAAAAGGGAAACAUUCUGAAAAAAAUCUAUUUAUACAAAGUUGUUGGACCAUUUCAUUAGGUUAACUUUUUUUGGUCUUCCCUUAUAUAUUUUAAUCUAUAGUUACUAUUAAAAUAAAAUCAUCCUAAAAAUCUACUUACAAAAAAUUUGUUAUACCUACUCAUUAAUACUUUUUAUCCUACCUUUAUUUUCUCUAACUAUCUAACAUUUUUAUUAAUAGCCAUAUUAAUACAUGACACAAUAACUCCUCCACAUAAUCAUAUUAAUAUAUCUUACUAAAUUUAAUACCUUGAUAAAUUCAUUUUAAAAAAGAUUGCAAACCAUAUAUUGAUUUCGAUAUAAACAUUUUAAUUCAUGAUAUAACUUAUCUUUCAAUAUUCACGAUGACCUUUAACUUGACUAUUAAUAUACGGCAAGUACUUAUCAACAAAAUCUAAACAUUUGAACACUGAAAUAAUUAACAUUUUUAAUGUAAUUCAAAAUUGUCAAACAUAUAUCCAACUAUUUACAAAAUCAAAUUCGAUAAAAAAAUUAAGAAAAUCAUCUGUUAAAAAAUUAUAUCUAUUACGAAAAAAAUUAAUUUUAUGAAAAUAUUUAUAAUAAUUUUUUUUAUUUAAGAUAAAUUUUUAAAAAAUAUUAAAACCCUACAAAUUUAUACUAUUUAGUUAGCUAAAAAUAUGCCAAACAAAUCUUAAGUCUUAUCAAGUGAACAAAUACAACUCUUAUGAAAUAUACACACAAAUAUAUUGAAAGAGAGUAGCCUUGAGUAUUUGGGUCAUUGGGUUAGGUACGGAGCGAUUCUUUUUGAUUUUGGGUCCUUUGAGUCCUAAAGAUUUGGAGCCAACUAUAUAUUUAAAUUUUUUUGGCUUGGGUUUGGGUUAGUUUUUUCGGAUCCAGGUUGGUUCGGACCCAUAAUUUAAAUAUCUCUAAAAUAUCUAUAAUUUCAGGAAUGUAUCGGGUCCGGAUCGGUCCGAAAAAAUGCGAAGUACCCAAAAACCCAAAAACACCCAAACCCGAACAAACACCCAAAAAUCCAAACAAAUACCCGAAAAUAUUCAUAUAGUCGAAAAACUAAUUUUACCUAAAUUCAGAUCCGAUGAAACCAAAAAGUUAUCCAAAUACCUGAAAUAUAUAUUUUAAAUUUUUUUAAAUUUAUCCAAAACUAUAACCGAAAACUCAAACUUGAAGGUUAAAAGAAUAUCUGUAACACAAGCAAUAUAUCUGAAAUACCCAAAAAUACCUAAUCUAAACAAAAUAUUUCGCAAACUUUGGAUACCCGAUCGGGUCUCCGGUAAGAUUUAGACCCAAACCGAGAUCACAUGUCCAAUAACAUACCCAAUAGGCAAUUUUCCGUGUACCCGAAACCGAACCAGACCUAUAUCUUUUACUCGGUUUCAGUUGAGUUUUUUUGGAUCCGGAUAAAAUUUUCAGACCUAAGAGAUAGUUACAAAAGAAUAUAUACAUACAAAAUCUCAAAUAAAGUAAUAACGUACAAUCAAAAAAUACUAAUUCAUAUCAAAUUUUCUUUAUAAUUAAAAAAACCCGCGCUUUUGAAGCACUGAUCAAAAUCUAGUGAAUUCUUUAAAAUAUAAGGAAACUACUUUUUCAAAUAACUAUUUUUUAACACAAAAACCAAAAACAAGUUUUCAUGGAUUUUUCACUACUCACACUGAUUUUCAGUUUUUUUUCUCUCUUUUUUUUUCUUUUCUUUAUUUACCCAUUAAUAUAGGAUAAAUAAAUAAAAAUGACAAUUACUUAAAAAUAAGGUUUUAUAAGAUCUAAAUCCAUGUUUUAUUGUGAUAGUGCGUCUAGUAUAUUCAUAGGUUUUCAAGAAAAAAAAUUGAAAUUUAUUCAACAAAAAAAUUGUCAAUAACCUAUAUAAUACUUAGUAUAUAAGAACAUUAUUAAAAAAAAAUUGUCAAUAAAAUAAAACUAAUUAUUAAAACUAGUUUUAUGUAAAGUUAAGUCAGGUUUAAAAAAUAAUAGACAACUUCUAAAAUUAAUAAAUUACUAAUCAAAACUUUAGAGAAAAAUAAAAAUAUACAGAAAAUUAAAAUUAAAAAAACAAAUAUCAUGUGUACACAUUUUACUUAAAGUUUUCUAUGUAUGGAUUUAUACAUAUAUUAUAUGUACAAAUAAGUUUAUAUAUAAGGUAUAAAAAUAUAUAAAUAUAUAAUUAUAUAAAUAUAGUUAUGUUUAAGCAUAGAAGUAAAAUUUUAUAUUUAUGUUUAAAAACAAAAUUAUAUUUUUUUGUGUUUGUUUUUUUUUUUUAAAGCUUGUGUGUUUUGGUAAUGAUAUUUUAUAUUUUAUUAUUUCCAGAAUAAAUAUUUUACCAUCAAUAAUAUUUUCAUUUUAUUAUUUUAAAAGCAAAAAUUAAAAACUACAAACCAAAAUCUAAAGUCACCAUUCAUGUUUUUCAAAAAGCUAAAAUCUACUGCAAAAUCAAAAACUACAAACCAAAAUCUAAAUUCAAAAACCAAAAACUGGAAACCAAAAUCUAAAAUCUAGAAACAGCGAAAACAAUCAUCACUGUAUUAGCAAUGUCAAUAUGAUGCUCUGUGAACAUUGUAAUGUAAUAAUCAUUGUAGAAUAUCAUUGCCAGUGUUAUUUUAGUCACUUUAUAAAUACAGUUUGCUCAUGUUUGAAUGAAAACAGGAGAUCAAGGAAGAAAAAACAUUGAAAAUUUCGGUUAAACAUUGGUUUAGUCGACAAUAUUGUGGACAAACCAACGGUUACUUUACUAAUUAGAGCCAUGCUUUAACUAAUUAUGCAAUUUUGUCUUUCUUUAACCCACCGGUCAAGAGUUUUUUUGUUGAUGAACUUUAAAAGAGUUGGAAGGUUUAGCAUGUAAGUUACAAAAUAAUGAAAAAGAAAGAGCACUAGCUUAUUUAAACCACUCUAGGCAAAAUCUCCUGAGAAACCACAGAUGAAACAAUACGUCGAUCGAAGAGUGUGAACGGAAUGACAAUUUUAGCUGAAGGUGUCGUCACUCUGUAGUAGUAACUGGUCAAUAACAUAGCCAAAAAAGCUUCAUUUUUGGAAUCAUACCUUAGGAGAGUGAUGCCAUAAGGAUUCCCAACCUCAUUAACAACCAACUAGUAGUGAUCCUCGACAGUGGAGGAGCCAUGGAGGGGGGUCAGUGGACCCCUAUAAAAUCAAUAAAUUUUUAAAUUUAGGCUUGGUUUUAAUGUUAUUGUCUUGGACAGAUGGUUAAGAUCACCCCUUUUGGCUUGGUUUUAAUCUCUGUUCGAAAACGCGGCCGCCUAGCCGCUUAGGCGCAAUCCGGACAUCAGCCGCGGCGAUUUUAGCACAAUCGGCCAACAAAAUCGGGGGACCAAUUAUUCGGCCCUUUUAAUAAAUUAAUCGGUCCGUUUACCGAUUAAUCGGCCCAUUUACCGACUAAUCGGCCCAUUAACCGACUAAUCGGCCCAGUUAAGGAUUAAACAAACCUAAAUUUUAACUUAUGAAAGUAUUUAUUGGGCUUUCAGAAAUAAGGAAGCUCAACUACUUUUCACUUCUCCCACACGUUUGUAUUCUAUAUUAGGGCUGGGCAAAUAAACCGAACCCGAAAACCCGAACCGAAUCUGAUCCGAUAAAAAUGAAUCCGAACCGAUCCGAACCCGACGUAAAUACCGAAUGGGUCUUGUUUUAUGGUAUUUCGGGUUAUGGAUAUUAUCCGAACCGAAUCCGAAUCUAAAUGGAUAUCCGAUAGAACCCGAAACAUUCAAAACCUCAAAAAGAUCUUGUACCAAACAUGAUCUCAAUUCCUAAUAUGUAUCCAAAAUACACUAAGAAAUAUUGAACAUCUAAAAUACUUAUCUAUUUACAUGAAGGUUGGUGGUUCUAUUACAUGAAGGUUGAUGGUUAAAGAUGACCGUUGAAUCUUGAAGUAUUUAGAUUUAGAUUUUGUUUUCGUUAAAUAAUAUUUCUCAUUUCAUGAGAACUUAGUUUUCGUUUUAUGCUUUUAUUUAUUUGGUUUUCUUUUUAUCACUAAAUAUGUUUACUUUUCGUUUGAUUUUGAAUGAUCACGGUUGAUGUUCCUUAUUUUUGAAUCGAUUUUACUUAAGUUUUGGUUACAAAAUAGGUACAAAUCAGGUAUUUUAAAACUGAAGAACCGAUUUUACUCAUGUUUUAGUUAUAAAAUAGGUAAAAAUCAGGUAUUUUUAAACCGAAAAACCGAUUGGGACCUGAACCCGAAAGUAUAUUGGGUUGUACCGGUUCUUUGAAGAUUUACUAACCCCGACCCGAACACGAUAGAACCCGAACCGGUCCCAAACCGAACUUUCAUAUAAUCCGAAUGAGGCUGAUUUUGAUAAACCCGAAAAACCAAAACCCGAUUGGAUAAAACCGAAACCCGAUUGGGACCCCAAAUGCCCAGGGCCUAUUCUAUAUAUAGAGUGAGAUUUGGCCUCUCCUGUUGUAUGUAAGCGAUGUGGAAUUUUUGUCCAUUUUGAUAAUAAUAAUGCGAAAUAAUUAAAAUGUAAGGAGGAGGCGUCGAACCCGGGGUUAUCCAGAGAACCAGAAAUAUUGAGUGCUUUGUACUUUUGCGCAUAUGUUUAUAUAUAUACAUAUAAUAAAAUUCAAAAUCUAGAUUAAUUUGUGUUUUAAUUGUAUUGCUAACAAUUACUUUUUUAAAAAAAAUCAAUAAUAAAUUUCAAUAGUAACAUACAAAAACUAUUAAAUUCUAAUACACUUAUAUUUUAUAUUUAAUUUAAAUAUUAUAAUAAAAUAAAAUAAUAAUUAAACUAAUCCCUGCAUAUACCCCGCUUAAUCUCCGAUUUUUUAGCAAUUCGCUAGGUCCGUGGUUACCGCCCGACUAGCGCCUAGCGUAGUUUCGAACCUAGGUGUUAAUGUUCAAGUCUUAUAUAUGCCCUCUNNNNNNNNNNNNNNNNNNNNNNNNNNNNNNNNNNNNNNNNNNNNNUCCCUAUAAUGAAAUUUAUUAUGACCCCCACAAAAUUUAUUUUUGCCUCUGCCACUGAUCCUCGAUGACUUUCGGUGGUCAUUGGCAAUGAAAUACUAACCAAGUUGAUCUAUAAGAAACAUUUACAAAUUCAUAGACUAGAAAAUUUAGAUUUGGAUUCUGAAUAUUUAAAUUCGAUUUCAUGAUUUUGUUAUACAGAUCUGAAAAUAUAAAUCUCAAUUUUAUGAGUGGAAUUUCUCAUAUAUUGGUUCACCCAACCUACCAAUGUUUUGAUUGGUCGAGGAACCACCUGGAAAACAUAAUUAUCUUGUUGAUGAGAUUAUGUUCUAACGUUCAAAUUGCUUUAUAGGUUAAUGGACCAUCUAUCAAACAUAAAGAUCACGAGCCAGUGUGAUCAACGCGUUAAGCGUAUGUCUAAAGCAAAUAUUAUAAGAAUUUCCUCCUUAUUUAUUCAAAUAAAAGGAUUUGAAAAAAAAGGAAAUGAAUAGAGCAACCUCAAAACUGGAAGCAUAUCCAGAAAAUCAAACAAAAAAACCUCAAACCAUAAUUUAAAGUCUUUUUUUUUUAUUCCAAACAAAUGCUAUAUAGACAAAUCUCUUAAAGAGAUGUCGCACUUAUAGUACUUACACGCACCAUUGCUUGGGUUGUUCCCCUACGAUGACUCCGCUUCCACUGAAAUAACAUGACUGGUCAGUUCGACCGUUUUUCUGGAAAUAAGCAUUCAUCACAAAAGACGCUUGUGUCCUCAAACUGUUCGGGUUAGAGCACGAACCACCGGUUUGGAUCGGUUUACAGUCAACGCCUCCCUGGUUACACACCCAGUCAAUAUUUCCCUGCAACUGCGCAUCAGUAGCUUCCGACUUGGCCACACACCAUUUACCACCACCACUAGGCGCUGGCAAUGCUGGUGCUGGACGUCCACCACCACCACCAGCUUGUUUGUUUCUGAGGAGGCCAACGUCGUAAACCGGUGAAAAAUCUGGCCAGAAAAGCCCCCAGUUCCGCUCUGCGGUUGGACCGGGCUUGCCUUCUUCGUUGAACAAACCGAAGAUGUAAGUCUCGAACCGUCUGUUAGGCAUGAGAGGUGUUCCUUGGCCUUGUGCACGUUUAAUAAUGUUGAGGUUGAACCAAGCCGCGUUUUCAGGAGAGCACCAAGGCGCAUCGCAGGCAGACGGCCAGCCCGUCUCACCAACGACGAUGUCAACAUCACCGUAGCCGAGAGCUUUCAUGGCUGAGUAAGUCGAGUCCAUUAGAGUAUCGUACAUGUUUGUGUAGACUUUUCCGGUUAACGGGUCACGGACCUCCUUGUACGGUGAGCGGAAAAUGGCGAAGUUGACGUUUUUGGGAUCGAAACCGAAGUAAGGGUAAGGGUUGACCACGAAAGGAGACUUGGUCUCGCGAUGGAACGCUAGGAUUGGAGCCAAUACGCCUUUGUCCCAGCCGGGUCUGAAUCGACCGCUGCUUGGUGCACCGUUCAGUUCAUAGGCUAUGAUGUUAAGCGAAUGUGCGGUUGUAACCUGAAACGAAGUUGCAAAAAAAUAGUAUACAAUAUAUUAAAAGCAAUUAUUAUCUAAUAAGUUACAAAUUGAUAACCAUAUUAGUCUAAAUUUGCUCUGAAAUUAGUAUAUUAUUUGAACUUACUCGGAGCAAAUAUGUAUUUCAGUAUUUGUGACGUAAUCAAAGGACGUUUUAAAACAUGGCAGACACACUAGGAAAGUAUCCGAAUGUAAAGACAAACAAGACGGUGAAACAGCACGUGGGAUAGUCUAUAUGGUCGGACCUUUGAAUGAUUAUUAUCAUAAAAAAAAAAUUUGCUUACUUGCGAAGUUGCGAUAUUUUUCCUUUUUUAUACAUGAAAAAAAUGAAGCAAAAAUAAAGAAACCCGUUGAACUACAUUAUGCAGCUGCGCAAGGAUUUGGACUUUGGGUUUAACUUUAGAUUCAUUGUUCCAACAUUAUGCACAGUCAAUGCAUUCGGUAAAAAAAAUGCUUUUAUCACGCCAAUCCUCAGUUACUAAAUAACCAAUAAUGACAUCAAAUGUAUUAUUAAUUAUUUUAUCCCCCAAAAACAGAAAAAAUCUGGAGAUUAGGAAAUAAAUACCCAAUAAUGACAUCAACCGUAUUAUUAAUUAUUUUAUUCACCAGAAACAGAAAACAUCUGGAGAUUAGAAAAUGAAGAGAUAAACUGACCUUAAUAUCUUUGACACCAGCAUGAAACAAAGCAGCGUUAAGAUUCUUCAUCGCCGGUAAAAGAUUCUUGAUCAUGUUAUCAUCACCGGACAGAAGAAUCUCAUUUCCGACAGAGAUAUACUUGAUCUUUGUCUGAGGAUGAAACGGUUGAAUAUUAGCAGCAACCCACCGACGAGCUUGUACUCCGUUAGCUAACGCCGGGAUAUCACCGUUAGGGACGGUGACUACGAGGGAGAUUCCUGUUCCGGCGAAGGCACGGAUGAUAUCGGGGUUCACGUUGAAGAUCUUGACGCUGUCGAUGGAAGUCUGAGUCUUGAGGAAGUUCGCCACCUGAGUCGGCGGUGGAAGGUUUCCUAGAGUGCCGUAGUUAACGCCUAUGGAGGAUAUAGCGGCGGGAAGGGUGAGAAAUACGGCGGCAGAGAGGAGGAGGAGAGAGAUUAACGGUGGCGCAUUGGCCAUUGGUUUGCUAGUUUUAGAGAAAAUGAGGAAGAUAAAACGAUUCACGGGAUUGGGGGUGUUUAUGAGGAGAGAGUUAAUGUUUUAUUGAGAAACUAUUAUAUAUAAUAGAUAAAAAUAGAUAUGACUGUUUGUAUAGGGGUGGGUAUACGUGUGCUAUAGGUGUGUAUGUAUAGUUGAUAGUGACGAACAGCUGGAAUUGUUAGAAAUGGAAGUAAAUAAUAAGAUUUUAUCCAUAAAAAAGGAAGUAAAUAAUAAGAUUUGACCAAAAAAAAGUAAAUAAGAUUCUUGUCUUUUCACGUUCGUCGGCUUAAAUUUAGGCAAAGUUGUAAAUAAUUGAAAAAAAAAAGAUUUGGUUAUUAGUUAAUUUGGCUAAAUAUAAUUUUUUUUUAUAUUUGAUUUUGUCCAUGUUUUGGUGUCUUUUUGCUGUUUUAAUUGGUUAUUACCUUUUUGUGUGUUUUAAUCCAAAAAGUCCAAAAUCUAAACCUGUUUUUUUGCUAAUCUCAAAAUUAGUUUAUAUGAUUAGUUUUACUAUCCUAUUUUUAUGUAUAUGCCAAAUUUAUUGGUUUCAAAGAAAAAAAUGAUUGGUUGUGAUUGUAAAUAUCCUGGCAGUCAAAAUUUAAUCUAGAAUUAUAUAUGUUAAUCAAUCAAAUUUUUCUUUUUUUUUUAAAAAAACUCACAUAAAAAAACUCUACAAAAUCAAAAUAUAGUUUAUAGAGAGUUUUAUUUACACAGCAAAAAUAAUACUUUACAAAGAUACAUCAAAAUAAUCUACCGAUUAAAUUUUACAGUCAAAACAUAAAUCUACCGUUAAUUCCGAUCAAUCCCCAAAGUAGAUAUGGAGCAUUGCUUUUCCUGGAUAUGCUUAAAGGGAUAAUGAUAAUGUUAUAUUUCCUAUAUUGUAGGAUUUAGGUUAAUCACAUAUUUCCAAUUCCUAGUUAGCGUAUGACAUUCUCUUUGUAUAUAAACCCUUUGUGGGAUGAUGAAUAAAGUACACGUUCUAUUCAUAUUUUAUGGUAUCAGAGCUAAGAUCUCUAAGACCUAAUUUUUUUAACCUAAUUUUUCUACUAUUCAUCUUCUUCUACCCAUACUACCUUAACCAUCCAUAUGAUGGCUGAUACACAUUCUACUUCAUCACCAUCUACUAUUACUACUCCUACGACACAUGCUAACGUCAUGGACGCAUCUCCUUACUACCUUGCUCCGUCUGAUAACCCUGGAGCAUUGAUAACAUCGGUUCUACUCACUCAUGAAAACUACAGCGAAUGGUCUACGGAACUCUGGAAUUCACUACAAGCAAAAAGAAAGACAGGGUUCAUAGACGGGACGAUUGUUAAACCAGAGACAGAACCUGAUCUAUCUAGAUGGCUUGCAUCAAACUCCAUGAUUGUUGGAUGGAUUCGUACAUCGAUUGACUCGAAAGUACGAUCAACUGUUACUCAUGUACCUGAGGCGAAAAAGCUUUGGGAGACGUUACGCUUCCGCUUCUCCGUCAAGAAUGGUACUCGCUUGCAUCAACUACAAGAUGAGAUCACGCACUGUAAGCAAGACGGGAAAUCAGUUCUUGAGUAUUAUGGGCGCCUCACGAAGCUGUGGGAAGAGUUGCAAAACAUGAAAACAGCUCGCUCCUGCACAUGUGAUGCCGCCGCCGAUAUCGAAAAAGAAAGAGAGGAUGCAAAGGUCCAUAAAUUUCUUUUCGGUCUUGAUGACUCGCGCUUUGCUUCAAUCCGAUCGCGCAUUACCGAUGAGGAACCAUUACCGGACCUCAAUAUUGUCUACUCUAGAGUUGUCCGUGAGGAGCAAAACAUGGUAUCUUCACGCUCCAAGGAACAACGAACAGAUGCGCUCGGGUUCUCAGUCAAAACAGAACCUCUCAAAGAAACUACUACGGUUGAAGUUAUGCCUCCACGCUCUCGGGAUCCGGCACGUAUGUGCACGCAUUGUGGAAGGACAGGACAUGAUAUCACAGAAUGUUUCCAGGUCCAUGGAUAUCCAGAAUGGUUUGUGGAGCAGCAACGACAAAACAAUCCAUCGUCAGGGUAUCGAGGAGGACGUGGGGGUCGCUCUAGCAAUAAUCGCGGCCGUGGACGAGGCCGCGCCAAUGCAACUCAAAGCUCGCAAACAAUCAACUCCGACCAGAUAGCUUCACUGAUCUCACUUCUCCAAAAUCAACAAAGCAACCUCUCAUCGGAACGUUUGUCGGGUAAAACUACACUUACUGAUGUUAUUAUUGACACAGGAGCGUCCCAUCAUAUGACGGGAGAUCUUGCAUUACUCCAUGACGUCUAUGAGAUUGCUUCCUCAUCAGUAACCUUCCCUGAUGGGCGUGACUCUCAUGCCACAAAACGAGGGUCCUUGCGUAUCAGCAAGGAUUACGUUCUACAUGAAGUCCUAUUUGUUCCAGACUUCAAUUGCACGCUUAUCUCAGUUUCAAAAUUAUUGAAACAAACUGGAUGCAUUGCAAUCUUUACUGAUACACUUUGUGUUUUACAGGACCGUUUUUCGAGGACUCUGAUUGGAGCAGGUGAAGAACGUGAGGGGGUCUACUACUUUACAGGUGUCAAAGUCGCAAGAGCUUAUGGGGUUUCAAAGUCGAAAAAGUCUACUUCUACUCUAUGGCAUCGAAGACUUGGACAUCCAUCCUAUAAAGCAUUAUCUACUCUACCUAUUUUUAAAGAUUUUAAGAUAGAUUUUUCAGAUUCUAGUCAAUGCGAUAUUUGUUUUAGAGCGAAACAGACACGAAAGGUGUUUCCAGACAGUCUUAAUAAAGCUAUUAUUCCUUUUGCUUUGAUUCAUUGUGACGUUUGGGGACCGUAUCGCACACCAGCUUCUUGUGGGGCAGUGUAUUUCUUGACUAUUGUUGAUGAUUACUCAAGAGCGGUCUGGACGUACUUAAUGUUAGAAAAAUCAGAGGUUUCGAAUCUUCUUAGCGGUUUGGACUUAUCUAAUGCUUGAAAAGUCCGAAGUUGCUUCUCUUCUAUGAAAUUUCUGUGCAAUGGCGGAUAGACAGUUUGGGAAAAAGGUCCAAACAAUUCGGACAGACAAUGGCACUGAGUUUGUGACUCUGGCGCCCUACUUCCGUGAUAAUGGUAUACGCCACCAGACCUCCUGCACUUAUACGCCUCAACAAAACGGCAGAGUCGAACGAAAACAUCGCCAUAUUUUAAAUGUGGCUCGAGCCUGCUUAUUCCAGUCUAGAUUACCUGUUGAAUUCUGGGGAGAAAGCAUACUUGCCGCGGCACAUAUGAUCAAUCGAACUCCAACGCAAGUUCUUGAUGGAAAAACUCCGUAUGAAGUUCUUCAUGGAACUCCCCCUAUAUACGAUCAACUACGCGUGUUUGGGUGCCUGUGUUACGCACACACACGACCAAGAGACAGAGACAAGUUCAGUCCACGAAGUCGCAAAUGUCUCUUUGUGGGUUACCCCUUCGGCAAGAAAGCAUGGCGCCUAUAUGAUCUCGAGUCUAAUGAAUUUUUCACAAGCCGGGAUGUGGCUUUCUUGGAGGACCAGUUUCCGGGGAUUGAGAAUGCAGUCUAUGUUAAACCACCGGUAAUACAGACCGAUCUUCCAGCUGAUGAUUGGCUUCUUUCGCCGGAACCACCAACGAUCCCACCUGCCAGCACCAAUGAAUCUAGUGAGACAAUAAACAUUGCACCUCCAUCUGUAAUAUUGCCAGCGGAUUCUUCUAAUGGAACACCUGUUAGUUUGGAACCAGUUACCCCUACGUCGCCUUCUACACCAUCGCCUACAAGUUCAGUGUCUCCUACAUCAUCGCCAUCUCAGUCGCGUGAACAAACUGAACAGAUACCAUCGCCUGGACUUCUGGAAGUUCUUGGUAGAGGUCAACGCGCAAAGAAACCGUCAGUUCUUCUAAAGAACUAUCUCAUUAACUCCGCUACAACUUUGACACCCCCUCACGGCUCUCAUACUUCACUCGUGCAUGAUCAGAGUUCUCCAACUACGGGUCCAGGUAAGACUCUAUAUCCCAUAUCUGAUUAUUCUUCUACAACUAUGUUUACUACGAAACAUCAGGCAUUCUUGGCAAAAAUCACAACAGACUAUGUCCCCAAAACUUACAAAGAAGCAGUCAAAGACCCAAGGUUUAAUGGCGCAAUGAAAUCUGAGGUCACUGCUUUGGAGGAUAAUCAUACAUGGGAUGUAACUCCCUUACCACCUGGAAAAAGAGCUAUAAGUUGUCGCUGAAUUUACUCGAAUAAAUAUCGCGCUGAUGGUACACUUGAGAGACCUAAAGCACGUCUAGUGGCCUGUGGAAAUCGACAGAGAGAAGGUCUCGAUUACAAAGAUACGUUUGCACUGGUGGCUAAGAUGAACACUGUUCGGUUUAUUCUCAAAGUGGCAGCAGCCAAGAGAUGGGAAGUUCAUCAGAUGGACGUACAUAAUGCAUUUUUGCAUGGAGAUCUUGAGGAAGAAAUAUAUAUGCAACUGCCCCCUGGUUUUCAAACAGAUGACGCGACAAAGGUUUGCAGACUUCGAAAAUCCUUGUAUGGCCUCAAACAAUCUCCUCGCUGUUGGUUUGCAAAGCUCAGCAAAGCUCUUCUCUCAUUUGGGUUCAAGCAGAGCUAUGAAGAUUACUCUCUCUUCUCGUUUGUGAAAGGCAGCAUAUGUCUUCACAUAUUGGUAUAUGUAGAUGACUUUAUAAUCGUUGGGAACGAUAUCUCUACAAUCCAACGCUUCAAGAACUACCUCAGCACAUGUUUUAAGAUGAAAGACUUAGGUAAACUCAAAUAUUUCCUUGGUUUGGAAAUUGCGAGGGGACCUGACGGCAUCUUCGUCUCUCAGAGGAAAUAUGCACUAGAUAUAAUUACUGAAUGCGGUCUGUUGGGAGCUAAACCGGCCGCGGUGCCUACAGAACUUAAUCAUAAGCUGGCUCUUGUCAAGGGCCGUCCCCUCCUGGAUCCAAGCAAGUACCGGCGGCUUGUGGGUCGACUCAUUUAUCUUACCUUUACUCGCCCUGAACUAAGCUACAUUGUCCACAUACUUUCCCAAUUUAUGCAGAAACCACAAGAGGAUCAUUGGAUAGCAGCUUUGCGCGUGGUCCGCUAUUUAAAAGGUUGUCCGGAUCAAGGAAUUAUGCUCACGUCCAACAGUGAUCUAAGGUUGACAGCGUACUCAGAUUCUGAUUGGUCGGCUUGCCCGAUUACGAGGCGUUCCUUAAGUGCUUAUGUGGUUAUGCUUGGUGAUUCCAUUGUCUCAUGGAAGACCAAGAAGCAACGUACGGUUUCCAGGUCUUCGGCAGAGGCCGAAUACAGAUCAAUGGCGGACACGACUUGUGAAUUGAAAUGGCUCAAACGCCUCCUCCUCCAGCUUGGGUUCUCCCAUUCUCAACCAAUGCGAAUGUUCUGUGAUAGUCAAGCUGCGAUACAUAUAGCUAAGAACCCGGUGUUUCAUGAACAUACGAAACAUGUGGAGAAUGAUUGUCAUACGGUACGAGAUGCAGUUCAAGCUAAACUUCUAACCACUGAACAUAUCACUACGAAGAACCAACCUGCAGAUUUGCUUACUAAAGCAUUACCAGUCCCGGCAUUUCAGUUCUUAUUGUCCAAGUUGGGAAUUCGAGAUAUGUCAUUACCAACUUGAGGGGGGGUAAAGGGAUAAUGAUAAUGUUAUAUUUCCUAUAUUGUAGGAUUUAGGUUAAUCACAUAUUUCCAAUUCCUAGUUAGCGUAUGACAUUCUCUUUGUAUAUAAACCCUUUGUGGGAUGAUGAAUAAAGUACACGUUCUAUUCAUAUUUUAAUGCUUUUCUCAAGAUGCUUUUAAUUUUAAUGACCGAUUUGAGUGUCCUAAUUAUAUAUUUAGUACACUUAACAAACUUUUUUUUUUGGAGAACAAUUAACAAACUUUAUAUUAAAUGAAAAGAAAAAGAAAAAGAGAUAAAUUCAUAGACGCGGUUUCUUAUUGUCAUAUGGACACGUGUUUACUAUGAUAGAAUCGUAGGAGUCUGAACAACGCCGACAAAAGUCAAAUAGAUUCGAAUCAACGUAUGAUGUUCAGGAAGCUGAUUCUUAACCAUUAGGUACCCUUUUGUUUAGCCACUUGUUGUGCUUUCUUUAGUAAAGAAAGAUCCUUCCAUGUCUCCUUCUCCGCUGCUACUAGAUAACAGUUUUAUUGUCAUUUGCCAAUGACCACAAUUACGCUGAUUAAGUGAUUAUACAACCAAGGCAAGACAGCUUUUUAAAAACCACAUUAGGUAGAUUGGAAGUUAAUUUAUAUGCUUUUUACAAAAAAAAAUCAAUUAGGUGAACAUAAGAUUGUAGACCCUAUGCUUUUGGAACAUGUUUGGAGCGGAGAUUAUUGAAAGACAAUUUCCAAUGGUGAUAACAAACAUGUUACCAGUUUGGCAGUUUCAUUAACCGUGGUGGUUUUUUGAACUUUGGAUUACACAACUUAAUUCAAAAAUAUUGGGCUUUAGAGAGUCAAAUAUCAAGACUUACAAAUGAAAUGGGAUUACCCAACAUGACAACGUGAAUUAUGUAUGUUUCGUGGUGAUUAGUUUUUGGGUCUAAAAUUUUUGGAAUUACACCAUAGUUAUAAAAGGAAAAAAACAUGACAACGUCAAAAUCAGACAAAAGAAGAUGGCUGAAACAUAUUCAGAAAACUAAACUAGUAAACGAAGAACAUACUUAAAGGGCUUAAUUUAUCUAUUUCUCUUCCCUCAUGCAUUUUGUUGGCUAAGAUUUGGAUUACGCUUAUGUUGUUGUUGUGAACUUUGAAUCGAUGUAGAACGGAACUGCUGAGGAGGUGAAGAAGAUUGUCAACACUCUUAACGAAGCUCAAGUACCUUCCCAGGAUGUCGUUGGUAUGUGCAUGUACUAUAAAUCUUCAUCUUAACAAGGUUUAAACGGGACAUGUUAAUUACUAAUUAGAAGAGUAUCUGAAUUGCCUUUACUCUGAUUAAAACGUAUCUGAUUUGUGUAUUCAAACAGUUCUGUGUCCGUUAGCCAUGUAGUGAUGUUGCGGUUAGAUCAUAUACUUGUUUCUAUCUGCUUGGAUGACCAAAUCUAUCAAAAGUAGUUCUUAUUAAUUGAGUUUUGUUUUUCCGUUUAUGCAAAUACGAUUAGGUUUUAUGUAAAUGUUUAUAGGAGUAACUUAUACACGUUGUUGGUUAACGUAGUGGAAAUUUAGCAAAUGCAGAGGUUGUGGUUAGCCCUCCAUAUGUGUUUCUUCCUCUUGUUUAGAGCACAUUAAGGUCUGACUUCUUUGUCGCGGCUCAAAACUGCUGGGUUAAGAAAGGAGGUGCCUGCUGGGUUAAGAAAGGAGGUGCCUUCACUGGUGAAGUCAGGUGAGAUUCCCUCGCAGCUGAGUUCUGUUUGAUUUAUUUUGUGUUAGAAACAAAUUAGUUUCGUUUUGUGUUCUCUUCUUUGUCCUGUUUCAUAUUAUAUCCUGCCUCUUAUGCCUUACGUAAUUUGUGUGUGCAGUGCGUAGAUGCUUGUGAACUUGGACAUCCCAUGGGUUAUCCUUGGUCACUCUGAAAGGAGGGCACUCCUCAAUGAAUCAAACGAGGUUGGUGACCUUUUAAUAUUGAAAAAAUUGCUUUCACUAUACGGAUUUGAGAUUCAUGGUUUUGAUAUUUUACCUCAAUCCUACGUUUGUAGUUUGUUGGAGACAAGGUUGCCUAUGCACUUGCUCAAGGUUUGAAAGUGAUCGCUUGUGUUGUGGUGAGACUCUUGAGCAGCAAGAGGCUGGGUCAACCAUGGAUGUUGUGGCUGCCCAGACUAAAGCUAUAGCUGGUAUAUGUAUAUCCAUUAUAUUGUCAAACACUUGUCAUUGUUUAUCUCCAACCUGCAUAGAAAUGUUUUGCUGGCCGUUCUUCUAACAAAGAACUUUUUUGUUGGCAAUGGCAGAUCGCGUGUCGAACUGGUCAAAUGUUGUCAUAGCCUAUGAACCAGUGUGGGCCAUUGGAACCGGAAAGGUCGCUAGCCCAGCCCAAACUCAGGAAGUAAGUUGUUUUCUAUGCGUGUGAGAGCUAAGCAUUGUUGCUUAUCGCCAUGACUAUAUAUAACAUGAACACUUAUAUUCCUUCUCAUCUAUGAACACAGGUAUGAUGAGCUUAGGAAAUGGCUUGCAAAGAACGUGAGUGAUGAUGUGGCUGCUACAACCCACAUCAUAUACCGAGAGGUAAACAAUAAAUAACGUCAUAUGACUAUAUUUUGAUUUAAAUCAAAUUCCAACACAAAGUUUCUUUGAUUCUCAGCUUGAUUAUGUAUAUAAAUUAUCAGGAUCCGCUCAAUGGUGGUAACUUCAAGGAGUUAGGUGGUCAGGCCGAUGUUGAUGGUUUCUUGGUCGGUGGUGCUUCUCUAAAGUUACAUUUAUAUUGCGUUUUGUCUUUUGUUUGUUUCAGUCAAAACCAUUAACCAAUGUCUUUUCUUCUUCUUUCAUUGUUGCUUUUGCAGCCUGAGUUUAUCGACAUCAUCAAGGCUGCCUAAGUGAAGAAGAUUGCUUAAUGAGUUUCACUAAGUAAUAUAGCUUCCUUUUGCUUUUUCAGUCUCAACUCUGAUUUUAAAAAUGAAUAAGUUGAUACAGUAUUAUUAUGAUACUGUUUGCUUCAUGUGUAUGUUAUCUUGAGAAGGCAACAAUCAUUUUCUUCACCAUUUAUUUAGCUUGUGAGCUUACAAAAAAAUCUCUCAGUUGUUUCUGUGUCCGUCUUCUUAACGUCCGGACUAUUUAAUUAAAAGGAAAUUAAGAUAUAUACAGCCCGAUCGAGGAAGUGUUUUUUUUGCGGUCUAGCCCAGUACAAUUUAUUUUAGCCCAAUAACAAACGUCAUGGCUUUUCUUUUCUAAGACACUUGUUUUAUUUGAUACCAAUCAGUUCUUAUCUCUACAGUGGUCCUGUGACUCCUAUCGUUGUCCAAUUAAUCAUUUUUAAUUAAUGUUUUGAUAAUUGGUAGCAUUGUAGUUUGUACGAUCGACGAACAUUGGUAUUGCUUUCUGUGUAGAUUCAUUGCGGCUGUAAAACAAGUACAACAAAGGGGGUAUAAACUUUUUUUUUAGUUGUCUUUUAAAUCUUAUCAUCAAAACUGAUCUAAGUUUUUUUAAUCAUCAACUAGACCUGAUAUAGUGAUGCGUCAUGUGUUCCACUUUCAUUAGUAUUUUGUUAUAUUGGUGUCAGCCACUUCAAAAAGUAGAGUACUCUUUGAAUGAUGAAACCCACGGGGUUUGGCCAGAUAAUGCUGCUGUCGCCUGUCAACGAAUGGGUAUUUAGUUUUAAUUCUUUAUUUAUCGCUUUUUCGGCUACUGGCAUAUCAAUUUUGACCUUUAAGCUUUUAUAAUGUUGCUUUAUUCUCAACUUUAUCGUCGGUAAUCAUAAGAAAAAUAUAACAUUAGGAAAACCCCAUGGAGAAACUAAAUUAAAUAAUCGUCACGGUGAAAUUAUUAUUAACGAAUGUCAUUAUUUGGUUGUAGAAAAUAAAACGUAUGCUACGUAGAGUGGUAAUACCUAUUACUUGUUGAUUAAUAAGUAAAAACAGCUCAGCGGAACUAACGUGGUAAUGUAAGAGUUAAAGAGACGGAUAAGUCAAAAAGAAGAGCUCCGAAUGUCAAAAACUGUUGAAAAUACUGAACUCAAUGUAAUCAAUAAGGGUUUUGACCUGACCACGAAAGUAAAAAGUUGAGUACGGAUUUUGACCUGACCACGAAUAAUCUAACUAAUACCAAUAACAUAGGGACUAUUUUCAUUAUAAAACAGGAUCACGUUUAUCUCCCAAGUCAGACCAGAGAUUAAUGUAUACUAUAGUUUUUUUUUGAUCAAAUGUAUAUACUAUAGUUUAUUAUUUAAUUUUCCGCACUGUUUUACUUUUUGAAAAAUGUAUUUAUUAUUAGUAGUUGACGUUUGGACUUAUUUGCGUAACGAGCAAACAAUUGUGACCCUAGAAAGGGUCAAAGAGAGGUUUGAAAAAGUCGUCCAUCUUUCUGUAGUAGCGUAUUUUGGGGUUCAUCUAACUGAAACAAGGGUUUGCUAUUUUUUUUAAUAAUUGUUAGUCUGACGACUGAAUAAUUAGUUUAUAAAUAUAAGAUUGGGACUACACAUUUUAUGUGUGUCAAACUAAGCGAUGUGACUUUAUUAUAUCCAUAAACAUAUCCUAUCCAUUCUUCUGAUAACUUAACCUUUUAUGUGUGUCCAUCGACAAACAGAUUUUUAUAUGUCUUUCACUAACCCACUUUGUAAUCAUGUCUUCUUAUAAUUUUUGAAUAUCACAAAAGGAUUGAAAAUGAUGUUUUAUAAUUGUAAAAGAAAAACUUAUUAAUUGAGAAUGUGACUUAUAAACAAAAGAAAAGUAAAUAAAGUGAAUCAUUGACUUUUGGGAAGUUUUCAAUUCAAACUUCACAAAUUGUGAAUACUUUGAUUAGAUUCAGUACAUUCAAACUGAUUUUGUUAAAGAUAUGUCAUUAUACUGUUUCCACAAUUGUAUAGACGAUGGUUUGUUUGUAAUAAUGGCAAUGAUGUUACUAGCUACCUGUUAAAUUAGAUAGGUAGCAUGUUUUUUUUUGCAAACAGAUAGGUAUGAUGUUGUUAACAAGAACAUAUUUAAAGGACAUAUACUAUCUAACACAAACGUUAACUUACAUAGAGUUGGAUAAACUCUUUUCACUUUGCUGUUUUUUUCCUUGUUUGACAUUUUAACUACUAACCUCAGUCCAUUUCCACCAAUAUAAAUACUAGUAAAAUGGUCUAACAAAUAACAAUAAAAUAACAAGAACUACAAUAAUGACAUCUUGUUAUAUAUUUCCAUCAUCAUAUGAAAAUAAACUACCUUUUGCAAGUUUGAGCUAAACUAGUAAAUAUUUUUUUUUCAAAGUAAAUGAAUUACAGAUUAUAGAUAUAACGACAACAUUUAGUUCAAUAAUUGGCUAGCUAUGUUUUGUUUUAAAAUAUGUGCCUAUCUGUAUCUGUGCUAACCAUUUUAUAUGCAUGAAACUUCUGUCUCAUGAUCGUUAAGUUAAUUACUGUUUAAUUGUCUUAAACAUAAGUACAUUUUUUUCUUGCAAAUCUUACUUUUCUUAUCUACUCGUGUAAGCUUUAAUUUUUAUACUGGCUAUUUGCAUUAUAAUUUGUUUUUGGUAAAGUAGUACUCAAUUACAUCAUACAUGCGUAUAUGUUAUUCUAUAUCAACCAGAAAACCAUAAAGCGGAUGGUGUAUUUUAUUUUAUUUUUGACUAAGAGGAUGGUGUAUUUUCUUACCUACUUGUAGAAAACUCAUAGAUGGUUAGAUAUUUUCUUGCAAAUCUUGCUUUUCCUAUAACUUGUACAAAACUUUAUCAAACUCCACAAGGUCUAAACUUGCUUUUAUGUCUUUCAAUCAGAUCAGUAAAUAGUAAACCAGUUGUCUCGUCAUUUCAACACCUAAAGCAACAAAAAACAAAAUAAACCUUUGCAUCUUAUUACCCCACCACAGCAAACUGAGGCCGCCAGCAAAAGAUACCAAAAUCUCAUGACCCUUAUGAGUCGGGUCUUUUGAGAGUUCACCUCACUGUCCACCGAACCUCUCUGAUCUUUAUGCACGUUAAGCUAUAUUAACACUGAAGACAAAAAACAAAUUUAUAAAAUAUAAAAACCAAAGGAGAGGAAAAAAGCUCAUCGAUAUCAAAUUUUAUUAAAUACUAUUAUUUUCUUCAACUCGGUUUUGUGGCUUUCUAGUCAAAGAACACUGUUGUCUUAGUUUGUGUGUUUUGUACUUUAUCAGAGAGAGAGAGAGAAAAAGACCUUUCUUCUUCUUCUCCUCAUCGCUCUUUAGUUGCCUCUCGUAUCUCAUCAACAACACCCAUCAUAUCUCUCUCUCUUAUUUUCUUCUUCACUCUGUUUCUUGAUAUCUCUGUUCUACACAACCACAGUUCAAGAAGCAAAGAAAGAGCACAACAAGCUUUAUUCCUUUUGCUUCCAUUGUCUAGAAAUGGGUUCUUGCCUCAGCUCUCGUGUCAAUAGUAAGUUCUCUGCAACUUAAAAAAAAAUCCAUUUUUAUAAAAUUUUCCUGGAAAAUUUUGAAUUUUUCCUUCAGAUUCGAUCUUUUUGUGAGUUUAUCAAUGAUGGAUUUUAACAAAAGGAAUGAUUUUUUCAAGAAUCUUCACGUGAUCUAAGUAAAAAAAGUUUCCACCUUUUUCUUUUCUCCUCGAUUUUGACUUUGGUCAACGCUUUGUUGUUGCAGAUAAGAGCAGUGGUCUCUACGACCUCCACCUCUCGAGUGUUCAAUCAUCAUCAUCAGCGGCUCACAGGAGAGAAGGAGAGAUACUCAGCAAGGCGAACGUCAAAAGCUUCACCUUCAACGAACUUAAACUCGCGACCAGAAACUUCAGAUCGGACUCUGUUGUCGGAGAAGGCGGGUUUGGUUCUGUCUAUAGAGGUUGGAUCGAUGAGACAACUCUCGCUCCGACCAAAUCUAGCUCCGGUCUUGUAAUUGCUGUCAAGCGUCUUAACCCUGAUGGGUUCCAAGGUCACCGAGAAUGGCUGGUAUGGUUAAACACAACACUGUUCUUGUUAUGUCUCUUUAAUCUCAAACGUUAAUUGUCUGACUUUGUGUCUUUUGUUGUGAAAUUCAGACAGAGAUAAACUACUUGGGGCAGUUAAGUCACCCGAACUUAGUUAAACUGAUUGGUUACUGCUUGGAAGAUGAGCAAAGACUACUUGUGUAUGAGUUUAUGCACAAGGGUAGUCUUGAGGAUCAUCUCUUCACAAGUGAGUCAUUGAUCAAUAAUUUUUCAUUGAGACUUUGUUUGUUCUUAUGUUUGAAUUGGUUUUUGAAGCAGCUGGUGUGAAGUGUAAGCCGCUAUCUUGGACUUUACGGGUUAAGGUUGCGCUUGAUGCAGCUAAAGGUCUAGCGUUUCUUCAUAGUGACCCUGUUAAAGUCAUAUACCGAGACAUAAAGGCCUCUAACAUCUUACUUGACUCGGUAUGUAACGCUCUUUCGAAUAAAAGUCUCGUUGUUCUCUUUAAUUAAAGGAUUAAUUUGGUUUCUAUUGUAUUGACAAUAGGACUUCAAUGGAAAACUUUCGGACUUUGGGUUAGCGAGGGACGGUCCAAUGGGAGAAACAAGCUAUGUUAGUACAAGGGUCAUGGGGACAUUUGGCUAUGCUGCUCCUGAGUAUGUGUCCACAGGUACAUUCAAAUUCAAUUCUCAUAUACAAAUUGUUACUAAGAUAUGAUAAAAUAUAGUUACUUAGUUAGAUAAUGAAACAUUUGUUUUAAUGUAAGAGUUACAUGUUUAGUUCUUUUUUAUUUUUAUUUUUACAUGCUUGAUUCUUGUUUUCAUACUCUAAUAUUUUUUGUAUCUUUUUCAGGUCACUUAAAUGCUAGAAGUGACGUGUACAGUUUCGGAGUUGUUCUUCUGGAAAUACUAUCUGGAAGGCGAGCGUUGGACCAUAACCGACCAGCCAGGGAGCACAACCUUGUGGACUGGGCUAGGCCGUACCUCGCAAGCAGGCGAAAGGUUCUACUAAUUGUGGACUCUCGUCUUGAGUCACAGUACAAACCUGAAGAGGCAGUGAGAUUGGCAAGCAUUGCUGUGCAGUGCAUCUCGUCCGAACCUAAGUCAAGACCGACCAUGGACCAAGUUGUUCGAGCCUUGAUACAGCUGCAGGAAAGCAUGGUUAAACCGGCCAAAGUUGAGCCCGGUAAAGAUACGAAGAAGGUUGUGGGAUUGAGAACUGAAGACAAGUACCAGAAAAAGGGGUUUAACAAGAAGACUGUUGGUUUGUAGUAGGUAGAUUAUAAGGAUGUGGUUAGGUCUCAUGUCUCCUCGUGUGUUUGUAAUAUUGCGUGUAGUGAUUUUGUGACACUCGUUGUAGUUUUGCUCCUGAUAUACUGAUGUGGAGAUUUUUUUUUUCUCUUGUUUUCUUUGUCUAUUUGAUUAGAUACAUAGUUUAAUUUUUAUUUUCUAUGUCAUCUCUCAUACACGUUUUGUUUUGUGUACCUUUUUCUUUCUUUUGCAAGCAUGAUUUUCAUUUUUACUAAACCAUUCUUGCAUCUAAUUUCCAAGGAUAUAGAGACUUUAUUAUAUAAGAGAACGCUAAAGAAUUUGAGAAAUAUUGGUUUACAUUUAUUAUGUUAUCUCAUCAUGCAUUAUAUUUUCCUUUUUUAUUAGUGAAUAACAACAGAUGGUAGAGAAUACUUUUCGGUAGGUAUGGUGAUUCUUCAAUGAGAAGAAGUCGUUUUCAGAGAUGAGGAAUAUGUCGGGGAUGUGUUGAGCUUUAUUCAGUGCCAAAAAAUGAUGAUCAGAUAAAUGUUUUCUUUUGCAACCCUUGUGGUUUGUAGAAGAUAUAUCUUAAAAACGGUUGGUGUGGGGCAUGUUGUAUUUUACUUUACUUUAUGUUGGUUAUGUUGUUAGAACGUUAGCUAAUAGUACGUUCUCUUUUUAUUUCUGAACGGCGCUAAAUCCGCUAAUAGUACGUUCUCAAUAUCAUUUCAACUAACAUAAUAACUCUAUAAGCAAUGUAAGUUUUACGUUGGAUUGUGUUUUACAAAAGGAACUUUACAAAAAGUAGCUAAGCUAUAUUUUUUGUUACAGAAAGCAAGAAAUACGUACAUUUGAGAAGAGAUUCACCAUCGUGUUAUACCAUUGGCAACGCAUAUCUAACUACGUUUUUCAUUUUUUGUAACAAGGGUUACAUAUCCAACUAAUCAACAAGAUUAUUCGGUUUAAGCUCCUUUUACUUUCAUGAAACAUUUCGGCUGAAAAAAUGUCUCAUAAUAUAUAUACUUUUUGUUUUUAGAACUCCUUAUCGUAUCAAAUUAUUUUUGUUAGAAAUUGUUUUCGAGUCUAGUGGUUAAAGUUUCCAUCUCUACAAUAUUUUCAAUCUGAUUUUGAUUCUCUCCCCGCAAAACACUUUUAAAAUGAUCUACUGUUAUAUAGAUUAGUCGACUAACAUAUUUUUCAUGUUUUUUAUUUAGUUAUAUAAAAUGUAACGAAUAGAAAAAUUUACAUACCUAACACCAUAGAACCUUGACAAGAACUAUGGAGUUUGUGGAAACCCCACCCCUUUAUUUUAGUAGUUUAAUAAAGUUUAUUAAUGUGUUUAUACUAAAUAUCUGAAUCUCAAAUCUCAAAUAAAAAGAAAAUUAUAUACAUUGAUAAAGAAAAAGUUUACAAAUUUUUUUUUAGCAUGAACGUCAUGCAUUGGAUAACAAGGUUUAUGGUGAUGUAGUAAAACAUGAAUCUUCAAAAUGUAAAAUUGCCAGAUGUAAAAUCAUCGGUAGAAUUUCUUAUAGUUUGUAAUAUUAUAGUUAUGCAACGUUAAAAGAAAUUAUGCAGUUUUUAAUGUCAAAUUAAAAUUUAUCUUAAAACUAAAAAUUGCUAAAAAGAAAAAUAACCAAAACUGUCGAAGGCGAAGCCCAUUUUAAAGAUGGACCAACGUUGUCUCUCUUUCUCAAGCAAGAGCUUACACUUAGGAUCUGCCUUUUCUUUUUGACUAUCUUUCUCUGCUAAAUUUAUUACUUUUCUUCCAAGAAUCAUGCUUUCUCUUUGAUCUCGCGUUGAAACCGUUUCUUGUAACAUAGGUUGUAGUAGUGAUGAGGAGAUACAGUCCGCCUUAUUCCUCCGAGGAGAGGAUAUGGUGGUCGAGGCAGAAGCCCUCCUCGACGUUGUUAUGGUGGUGGACGCAAGGGAUCUAGCUAUAGAAGUCUGUUGGUAGGGAAAUGGACUCAUUUAUUAAGUUAUGGAUGUUAAAAGCUGAUGAAAAUGAUAAUUGUAUCUCGGCUUAAUCCAUGCUACUACUAGGACCGCUCCUUCUCUUCAAGUUUUUUUGGUUUUUUAAUCGCCUUUUAAAACUGCAAGGGACUAAUCUCAUCGAUACUAAUAAGAGCCACAUACGUAUUUUGUAAAGUUCUCAAGAGAGGAAUCAACAAGAAGCUGUCAAAGACAGUACCACUAUCUGAUUCUGAUGAAUUCCCUUUCUUCAUUCCACAAAACACCUAAAGGGAGAAGAAAGAAACUGAAGGAAGAGUUUACUAAGAGGCAGUAGAGAAAAGGCCGUGAUGGAGUUGGUUUAUUCACCCAGUUUUGGCAAAAACGCAAAACGAAUCAGCUUAAAUCUGAGAGAAGAUCCCGUCCAGUGAUAUGGUUCUCACAGGCAAGCAACAGUUAUUACAAACAUAAUGCCUUCAUUCCACAAACACCAAAACAUGUUCAUUUCUUUAUUUGGUUUCAUGAUAAAUCUCUUUCUAGUUUGCUCUCAAGAUAACACAUACUAAUCAAUCACUGGGAAACAGGUAAACAAUGCAGAAAAUUAAACCAAACUGGGACUGUAGCCACAAUACCAGACCAAUCGAUUCUCCCACAAAUCUUGUCUCCAGCUCUAUCCAGUGAAACCAACAUACACUGAACAUUCUUGUUAACUUCAUUUACAUCCCACAAGCCGUUGUCGUCAGUUGCGAAAAUGUAGUUAAAAACCACAAGCCUUCCGUCGUGAUAUUCCGACAUCCCCUUCACACGUGAGAGAACCAGGUCCUUCCCAUCAGGACCGACCAAUCUUCUCCACACAUUAAUCUUGGUAUCGAACCACAUCAACCCAGCCCGGGUAAAGAAAGCAAAGAGAACAUCCUCCACCACACACACGCUAUGCGCCAUAUCAGUGAACCUCUCCAUACGAACCAUCCGUUCUCCUUCGCCUCCUCUCGGAUUGUACACAUUAGUCUCCACGUACUCCACCAUAUAAACCUUCCCCUCCACCGUCAGGGCCGGCUUAACCAUUUCAUAGGCCCUGGGGCAAUUUUUCAAAAUAGGCCCUUAACUCUUAAAAUAUUGUUUAUUCCUAACAAAAUUGUAUAGUUUAUCAAAAUAUAUGAAACCAAAUGCUUAAAAUAUUAUCAUGCUCACGUACGGGAUUAGAAGUGAUUAGUCGUAUUAAAAACAAUUCUCUCACAUAAAUUAUUUUUAUACCAUCAGAUUUUAAAUUUGUAUUAGCACUUGUUUUCAAAAUGUUGUUCAAUGUUCACCAUGAUACAAUCUAAUUGUCUAGAAAGAAGUGACAUAUAAUUAGGAAUAAAAUUUUGAUCCGUCUAAAAUAUAUAAACCUAGUUACUAUAAGUUUUAUUUUAAAAAAUAAAAUAAUAUUAAUAGAACAGAGCAUGAUCUCAUAAAAUUAAAAAAAAAAUUGGAAUUAUAUAUGGAGAAAUGGAAUUCUAAUGGGAAACAAGAAUUUAGUGGGGAAAAGAUAUUUGGGGAACGCAACACGUUUUUGAUUUGAAAAGAAAAAUCAGUCUAUACGAACAUUUCUAUAAUUUUCCAGCUGUAUCUGUUCGGCCUCUUAAAUUUCGAAUACUCAAAAACAUAAUGGACCCCUCUCUUUCUCUUGGGCCCUGGGCGAUCGCCCUGCUCGCCCCUGCACCUGAGCCGGCCCUGUCCACCGUGGCACUGCACCGUGAAAUCUUACGCACCUUCUCCACCCCCGCAAGCUCCCAAGUGGUCUCGGUCUCGGUCUCGGGAUCGAAAACUUCAACUUGCAUCUCUUCGUUAAACUCUCCGCCUCCCAUCACGUAAAUCUUCCCAUCGAUUACGCCAACGGCUGUUGUGCGACCUACUCGAGCCACGCUCAUGCUUGGUCCCUUAGUAAUGUUUCCAGAGCGUGUAUCAAGGAUCCAUAGAUCCGUGGAAGGUUCUCUAGAGCCGCCCAUGAAGAAGAUGUUUGACCCCACUGCGACGGUUGAAGAAGAACCGUAACUAGGAUGAGAAGGGAAGGGAGUUGGGUUCAGAACUAACCCAUGCUCCGCCUCGUUGAGAGUAAACCAGUGGAAGGAUGAGUUGUUGUCGCUGUGGUCUUCUUGGAAACAUAGAUGGAGGGAGCGGAGGGUGGAUCGCAAGAGGUUGAGCUCAGGAGAGCGAACAAGGGACCUUAGGUCUUUUGAGACCCAUGAGAUGUUUAGGUGAUACAUCCUUGGGACAAGGGCCAAGCAUCUCAAAACGAUAUCGUCAGGCAGGGAAGAAAGAGGAGGAGGAUGGGACAUUGUUUCGUCAGGAGAGUCUGAAAAGGUUCGGUCUUUGCAUUAUGAAUCCAAGCGGACUUUAUAAAUAUUUAUUACGUAAAUACGUUACUUUUUUUUUUGGGUUUAGGUUAUGAUUCAGAUAUGGACAGCAUUUAUAAAAAAAAAUAUUACGUUACUUUUAAAAACCUUAAUUAAUUUCCAAAAAAAAAGCUAUAGAAUCAACCUUAAUCAAUCACAAGAUUUCAACAAAAUGAUAUAUAUAUAUAUAUAUAUAUAUAUGUAUAUUAAUUCUAAUAUAGUCUGUUGAAAUUGGCCCGUAAUUGUGGCUUUAAUAAGAUCUUGACCCAAAAAAAAAACAAUAAGAUCUCAGUUUUAUUUUAAUUGCAACUUUUCAAAGCUGAUUUUGCGGGGUAUGUAUUAAUGUAAUAGAUUCUCAAUGAGAGGAUUUAAUUCCAAUUACAUGAUGCAUUUUGGCAAAAAAACUUCUAGACUAAUAUUAUUCAUAACACUAAUUAAACAUUAUAUUUUAUUUAAUAAUAUAGUUAAACUAAUAUUUUUUUAUUAAUUUAAGUUAAUAAAUAAAAAUAAAUCUAUAAAUUAUUUAAAAACAAUAUAUAAAAUAGUUAUUGGGUUAAUGGAUGUUAAAAGCUGAUAAAAAUGAUAAUUGUAUCUCCGGCCUAAUCCAUGCUACCACUUUCGCAUCUUCACUUCCUAACGUUUUUUGUUUUUUUUUUUUGUUUUAAGUUGCAUUUUCAAUCUAUAGGGAUCUAAUCUCAUAAGUUAUGUAUUUAGUAAUGUUCUUAAGAGAACUAACUAGCUCUUUAUUUCGUAAAUGGUCUUUGUAGGAAUCUAGAAGAAGCCGCCAAGGACAAUACCAGUAUUACGAUUCUGAUGCAUUCCACAAAACAAUCAAAAGUUAGAGACUCUUGUAACUUUGUAGGAAUAUUGUCAUCAUUGACUGGAAACUCAAGUUAGACUAAUAUCACUAUCUUACUCCGUGUGUGUAGUUAUCAAUCAUGUGAAACUCGAUUUAGAUUAACAGAAGAUGACAACAUUCCUGAGGAACAAACAAGAUAAAUAGAAGUCCGAAUUGAUUUGGUUGGUGAACAAAACAAUCCUGAGCCAGAAGGUCGAACCACACUAUCAUACUCCGCUUAGAGAAAGCAUAAAGAACAUAGUGCCUCCACCACACACACGCGAGUAGCCUUUCCUUUCUUCCACCAUGUUUGUGAACGAGUCUCUGGUUUACCAUUCGUUCUUUUCAUCUUCUUUCGGGUCGUAACACACUUGUCUCAUCAUCUUCCACCAUAUAAAUCUUCCGCUCCUGGGUAUGAACCAGAAGAAAGGCGUCGUGGGGGAAGAGCAGUUUCAAGGUCGCCAGCCAUCUGGAUCCAGGUCCAGAUCCGUGGAGGUGUAUCUCCAAGAUGAACAAGCCUCUUAUCUCUCACACCAAACAACUUUGUGCAACUCUCUCUCUGGGCUUUGUUUCUCUAGUUGAAUGAAGGUCUGUGUCCUCAAAAUACUCCUUCCGCUGGCUUUCUCAAUUUGUGAGUUUUUCUAUAUUUAAUAUUUGUAUGAAGAAGUUUGGUUAAGCUUUUAGUUUUGACUUUUGAGAAACGUUUUCAAUUUACCCUCGUCUUCUUUUCUAUGAGUUCUCCAACUUAAAAAGUCAAGAUCGCUAUUUAUUUAAGCACUCGUAUAGAAGUAGAAGACAUUAUGAUGUUUCUUAGGAUUCAAUUUUCAAGGAGCCAAUCAUCAUACGUCAAACCGGUAACCCGAAAUAGGUGGUUCCCUCCUCUACAUAAUGGUUUGGUUUGGUUCGGUCUGGUUUAAGUCUUUGGAACCACAACGCUGGUUGUGUUUGAAAUUGGAAAAAAAAAUAAAGAAUAGUAAUAAAUAAUGUGAACCAAUUCUGUAUAUAAGGACUUUCUCUUACACAACCACUUGUUCAUUAUGUCUCACAAGAUUUCAUCUUCUUCUCUUUUGGUUUAGAAAACUUCAAACGAAGCCAAUAUUUCUUUUGAAAAGCUCUCCAGAGACAGAGAUGGCUGUGGGAAUCCUAGAGGUUGAUCUGAUCAGUGGGAAAGGUCUCAAACGAUCUGAAUUUUUUGGUAAGUUGUUAAUCUAUCUCUUCUCUCAUUCAGAUUUGUUAUCUCUUUAUUUUUUGUUUGUUCUUGGCUUUUAAUUGACAUAGAUUUGAUGUUAAUUCCUUUGAAGGUAAGAUAGAUCCUUAUGUUGAGAUCCAUUACAAAGGACAAACCCGCAAAAGCAGCGUUGAUAAAGGUAUAAAUUAAAAUUAACUCAUGUAUUACAUUAUCUCCAUAUCCUCCAGAUCUCUGCCUUUUAGAUUGACUUUAUGCGCCAGACUAGUUCUUCAUGAUUAGGCCUAUCCAUGAUUAUCAUUAUUUUAGUAUUAGAAAUAGUUUUACUAUUAUCUUAAAAAAUCACUAGGACUUCCGAAAUAAACAAAUUGCUAACAUCUUUUCUUGGAAGAAACAAAUUGUCACAUGCUUGUAACUCGAUUUACAAUGGUUGUAGGCUUUUUGUGUUAAUAACAGUGAUAUAUUAAUGGUUGUAGUUCCUUUAGAAUGUGGUGGUAUUUGAUUUUGAACCAGCCAUGUAUAAGAUGUAACAAAUGUUAAAAAUAUAACUUGAUCAAACUAAUUCAUUAGCUAAUCACUUGAUCUACAAAAGAAAACUAGUUUAUUAAUUGUGCUUUUGUUUCAUGAGUAUUAUGUGAUCAUCAACAUUUGUUAUAUCAGUCAAAAAGACAUUUGUUAUCUCAAAUAUUUAUGGUGUUUUAUUAUUUCGCUAUUUGUCAUUAUGCUAUUUAAUAUUUGCAAAAUUUAAAGGUUAACUUGUAAGUUUUCUUUUCUUGUAUGGUUUUAAAUCUCGAAAAUUUGUUAUUUGGAGCUUUCUUGUGAAAGUAGUCAUUGUAGUUAGUGUGAGUCUGAGAUUGUCUGGUCAACCUCAUUUUUAACUAAUUAUCAAUAUACCAAACUUCAUAUUACAACUUACGUAACAAUAGUUACUACUCCUUCCGUUUCAAAAUAAUACAUUUUUUAGAAUUUUUCAUAGUUUUUAAUAAAACAUAUUAAAACUUAAUUAUAAAUACAUAGUUUUUUGUAAUUUUAUAUUUAUUAUAUUUUUAAACCAAUAAGACUUUCAAAAAUGUAAUUAGUGUUCUUGAACUUUGUAACUUCAUAAUUUUCUAGAAUAUGCAUCUUUUUUAAACAGAGAGUACUAUAAUUUCCUUCUGAACAUUUAAGAUAAAAAGAAUAAUCUGUCAAUACAAUAUAAUGAUCACAUAGACCUUCAUACUAGAUAUUUGUGUUAUUUAAAUGGAAAAGAUGGAGGUAGAAAUCCUACAUGGAAUGAGAAACUGAAAUGGAGAGCAGAGUUUCCUGGCUCCGGUGGCGACUACAAACUCAUCGUCAAAGUCAUGGACCAUGAUACUUUCUCCGCCGACGAUCCCAUCGGCGAAGCCACGUAAGUAUCAUGUAUAGCACACUAAACUUUGCUUAUGCACUUGACUGAAAUAAAAGCAAUAAUACUCUGUGCGAAUAUAAAUGGAUAAACAGAAUAUACGUGAAAGAGUUAUUGGAAAUGGGAGUGGAGAAAGGAACGGCUGAGCUAAGGCCGACCAAGUACAACGUUGUUGACACCGAUCUCUCAUUUGUCGGCGAGAUUCUCCUUGGAGUUUCUUACUCUGUUAUGGUUAUCACUCUUUCUUUUUCUUUAUCUACUUUUUCCAGCUUUAUUUACCAUCUUAUUGUAAGCUCUUUUUCAUUUAUUUUUAUUGGGAAUAUUCAGCAAGACAGAGGAAUGGAUGGAGAAGAGUUUGGUGGAUGGAAGCAUAGCCAGUUUGAUUAAUUUCUCCUUUAGAUUGCUCGUUUAUACUUUCCAGGUUUUACAUUUAGUGUGAACACAUUAAGCAUUUCUUAAUUUCAACCAAAAAAAACUCUUAACGCAUAUUGUAUGUCAUCUGUGUGUUGUGGUGAAUCUCAUUGUAUUUAAUUUCAGUAUUCAAGAAAGUGUAAAACGCUGAGCCAAAGCUGACUCUGCGCCUGCCGCCUAAAAUACUUGAGCAUAUAUCUAGAUUGAUAUAUAGAGCAAUCCCGGUGAACAAAAAAAAAUAUUAGAACAUCUCCAACCCCACUCUAUUUUUCACUCUAAAAUAGAGUUUAAAAUAGGAAAUACUCCAAUGGUACUCUUCUCACUCUAUAAUAGAGUGAAAAAUAGGUUUACUCCAAAUAUAGAGUAAUUUGUUUUUUUUUUGUUCAUCACUCUAUUUUCUACUCUAAAAUAGAAUAUCAUUGGAGCAAACUCAAAUUCUAUUAUAGAGUUACUCUAUUUUAUAGUAAAAAAAUAGAGUAAGCCAUUGGAGAUGGUCUUAGAGCAAUUCCAACGAAGGGUUUUCACAAGAAUUUUAACAUAUAAAGUAAAACAUUUUAAUCAAAUAUUGUUUGAUGUUCUCAAAAUCAUCAGAUCUCCUUCCGAAAAUAUUCAAAUGAAAUAUUCUAAGGCCAUCUCCAAUGAGACUGCAAAACACUAUUUUAGUGUGAUUUUUGCACCAAAUCCUCUCCAAUGGAACUGCAAAAAUCACACUAUUUUAGUGUAACACUAAAAUUUGACAUCAAAUUUGGUGUGACACUAUUCACCACACUAAAACACAAUUCAUCUCACUAAAACACUAUUCACUUAUUUUAUUACUAAAACAUUCAAUUAAAUAAAUGAUAAAUAAAAAACUUAAUAUAUAUAAUAUUAUAAAAUAGUUUUAGUGUGAAAUUUAGUGUUAUUGUUGGAGAAUACCUUAGUUUUAGUGUUGAAAUUACACUAAAAUAGUGUGGUUUUGACACUAAAAUAGAGUUAAUGGUUGGAGAUGCCCUAAGAAGUUCUUAUGAUUUUGAAAAUUCCUUAAUAAAAUAUAAAUAUUUAUAGAUACGUAUAGCUAAAAUGCUUUGUUUGAGAAAUCUCUAUUGGAGUUGUUCUAAGCAGUCUGAAAUUUUAAAAAUAUAAAAGUAAAUUAAAUAUAUUAAAUAAAUAUAAUGUAAAUAAAAAUAUUUUGAUUUAUUAGUUUCUUUUUCUUCAAUUGCCUAAUUUUAUUUUCCAUGUUUUAUCUUUAGUGAGAACAUCACCAAACUAUUCAAAGUUUCACAAAAAUAGUUUUAACACAACCAUAUAAUCUAUAUAUCAAUUUAUUCAGCAUAUUCUUCAUCGUUCUUUAUGAUUUGUAUUGGAGAGAAGAUCUCACAUUGAAAAUAUGAAAAUGACUUGAUUAAUAUAUAAGAGACUUGGGCCAAUUCACUAAUUAUCAAUUGGUUUUAAGUUGGAAGCUUAGGAAACUUAUUACUGGAUUAGCCCAAGUCUUUUAUAUAUUACUCAAGUCUCUUUUAUAUUUUCAAUGUAGGAUAUUCUCUCCAAUAAUUUGUUACUUUCUUGUUUUAUAAUGCAAAUGUCUUUCCAGAAAAUGGAUAUGAAAUUUUGUGUGGGCAAUGAUAUCAAGAGAGAUAAUUGAGUGAAAAGUAUGAACACACUCUCGUGGAAUGGGAGUAAGAAAAAACUUCGAAACUGAAGAAGAAAUGUUUUGACAAAUGUUUCUUUUCCUUUCUUGAUUCUCUCUCUUCAUCCAUGACCUUUUAUGAUGGUCCUUCCAAUUUGAACAUUUGAUAUAAGCUCUUUUAUGCAUUUUCAUUUCAUUGUCAUUAUGGGUUUGAUGUUCUUACACUGUAACUAUCUAAAAUUAAACAAAACAUUACAAUUCUAUGAAUUGAGUAGAAAUGUGUCACUACUCGAAAUAAAAUCUUUAAUGUUUGCUUAUGUAAGGUUUGAAAAUCUGAAUUUGAGGAUCCUACAAGAAAAAUAACAACAUGAACAAUUGCAAACAACGAAAAGCAAACAUAUAUGAUUAAGGGAAAAAGACUAACAAGAAAAACACUCCAAGAUAACAAUUCAUAAGCAUCACAACUCAAAAUUUCAGUUAAACCUAAAAAACAGUCCACGAGGAAACUAAUGCAAUCGACGAAAAACAAUGUUGAUGAGUGCUUGAAUAGAUAAAAACUUGUAUCUCAGCUUAAAGCAUGCAUGAAUGAUAUCGACCAAUCAUUGUAAUGUAAAACACAUUUAUAUUCAAAGCAAAAUAUUAGCAGAGAAUCAUGUAACAUGAGAGACAUAAUAGCGUAAUGGUUGAAUUAAAUGCUUUUAAUAAAAACAAGUCCAUGAAGAAAACACUAAAUAAAAUAUAUGAUUUAGAAAUCUUUUAUUUUAAGUUACAUGGAUUUAAAACAAAAAGUUUAUUUCCAAAAACCAAUUAAAUGUUUUGGAUUUUAAAACAAAAAUAUAUAUUUCUAAGAACAAGUUACAUAGAUCUAAAACAAAUAUUAUCUCCAAAUACACGAUUUGUGCAGAAUCAACGUUAAUAGAUGUAUAAAAUUAACUUACUAAUUCCAUUUCCCAUAUGCUCCAAAUCUUAGCAUUUUAUUAGGCUUUUUAGUUUGAUUUCUCUCAUUUCAUGUACCAAACUAAUUCUCAAUUAUCACUGACCUGCAAGACAUGGCUCGUCUAUGAGAGGAUCUCCUAUCUUCCCUAGUCCUAUAUUGUCACCUCUUCGGAUGAACUCUAUUAUGAAAAUAGAGUCGUGCAUGACCAUCUCCACAAACUCUGAAGAUUUAAUCCAUGUCACUGAUUCUGAAUAGCUUUACCUGGUUUUCUCUUCAUCUUCUUCAAUCAUUCUUUUGAAUCCAUCGAUAAUCUCUUCCUCUUCAAACCUUGCUGCAAAUUCUUCUAAAUAAGUCUUCUUAUGCUCUAUCAUGUUUAAGUAGGGUCAAGUAGUGAAGAUGGAUCAAUUCUCCAAUUAUCAUAAGACACCAAGUUCCAACUGAUCUAGUUCUUUCUCAUGACAAGAGCUUGGGGUCCAAAAUCCAAUUAAUGUUUUGGACUUAAAACAAAAAAAUAUUUCCAAAAAAAAUUACAUAGAUCUAAAACAAAUUUUAUCUCCAAACACAAGAUUUAUGCAUAAUCAACGUUAAUAGAUGUAGAAAAUUAACUUACUAAUUCCAUGAUCUCCAUAUUCUCCAAAUCAUAGCAUCUUAUUAGUCUUUUUACUCUGAUUCUUUCAUUUCAUGAACCAAAGUAGUUCUCCAUUCACUAUUAAUAUUGUUGUAAUUUCUUUAAAUAAUUCCUACGACUUCAAAUUUUUUUUACUCAAACUAAAAAAUAAAUAAAUAAAGAUUUAACUCAAACUUAACCAAAAAAAAAACACUUUAUACUUAGAAUGUAAAAGUAAGCUUACCCAUUUCUAAUGUACUGAACAAAAGUCGUUUCAUUAGGCGCAAACUUUCUCCUUUCUACCCUUCGGUAUAGUGCAAAUUUGAAAACCUUAGAAAGCCUUAGGUUAAAUUUGCCCCAUUUUGAGCUAUUCUUCUUUUAAAACUAGAGUGUACCCACAAAUUAUGUUCACUCAUCCACCCAUUAUCAACCCUCCACACACCUCCCAUCUCAGUAGGAAUUAACAUCCGGUUUAUGACCUGGAAUAUAUGAUGAUGUUCGAACAGUAUGUCCCAUUCCGCAGUAGUAAUCUAUAGUCUGUGAAACAUGCAGCAUGACAUUGACAACUGCAAUGUUAAUAUGAUCAUUAUAAAUAUGUUGAUCCUAUUAGUAUUGUGAUUUAUCUAGGCAUUCUUUAUUCAUGAUUAACGAGGCAAGUUAAUGAGUAUCUAGGUAUCAUCAUUUAAUUAUUGAUAUUUGCGUUAUUUUAAUGAAAAAUACUGAGGUGGAAAUCCCUCAUGGAAUGAGAAACUCAAAUAGAGAGAAGAGUUUCCUGGCUCUGGCACUGAUUAUAAACUCAAUUGUCAAAGUCAUGAACCAUGAUACGUUCUACGUAAGCAUCAUAUAUAUACACUAAACUUUGCUUAUGCACUUGGCUGAAAUCAAAAACAAUAAUAUGUAAUGAAUAAAAUUUACAGACAUGUAUAAAAACUAAAAAUGUUAUGAAAAAAGAGUUUGGCAACGUAUUAAAUUCAUCACAUGGUGGUGACAUAGUAUAUAACAAAAAAAAGAAGAAGUAAAAUUCGAUUUUUGCUCAUCAGAUGGCUGAAGAAGACGUCUCAACCAUGAAAUUAGCAAUCCUGUUCAACAGGUUUAAACCGAAAACCGUUUCUUCACAGUUGAUCUUGACUGUUAAGUUCAGAUCUUCAGUGCAUUUACCUUGGACUGUGAUGGUAAUCAAAAGAGGUAUCUCACUGCUCAAGAUUUUGCUGCUGAAUCUUAAACGCAGACCAGUUGCAUCUUCAAGUGUGCUUGCAACUGGCAAAUCCACAGACACAAGGUGUAGAUUCGAAUUGCUAAGCACUUUUAGCGUAAUAGACUCGCAGAUGGUAAGAAACUUGUCUUUCCCAUUCUCCAUUCUUGUGUCUUUGAUAUGAUCUGUGAAAGUACACCUACCAAAAGCCAAGAGAGGUCA